CGUGUAGGCGGACUCGCAAGUCGGUUGUGAAAUCCCUGGGCUCAACCUAGGAACUGCAUCCGAAACUGCUUGUCUUGAGUAAUGGAGAGGGUGGCGGAAUUCCCGGUGUAGAGGUGAAAUCCGUAGAUAUCGGGAGGAACAUCAGUGGCGAAGGCGGCCACCUGGACAUUUACUGACGCUGAGACGCGAAAGCGUGGGGAGCAAACA
rnacentral:rRNA from 1 species